AACGGUCUAUACCUGCGGUACCUGCGGAAGGAUCAUUACCGAGUGCGGGCCCUCGCGGCCCAACCUCCCACCCUUGUCUCUAUACACCUGUUGCUUUGGCGGGCCCACCGGGGCCACCUGGUCGCCGGGGGACGUCGUCUCCGGGCCCGCGCCCGCCGAAGCGCUCUGUGAACCCUGAUGAAGAUGGGCUGUCUGAGUACUAUGAAAAUUGUCAAAACUUUUAACAACGGAUCUCUAGAU
rnacentral:misc_RNA from 1 species